GACGAACGCUGGCGGCGUGCUUAACACAUGCAAGUCGAACGGAAAGGCCCUGCUUUUGUGGGGUGCUCGAGUGGCGAACGGGUGAGUAACACGUGAGUAACCUGCCCUUGACUUUGGGAUAACUUCAGGAAACUGGGGCUAAUACCGGAUAGGAGCUCCUGCUGCAUGGUGGGGGUUGGAAAGUUUCGGCGGUUGGGGAUGGACUCGCGGCUUAUCAGCUUGUUGGUGGGGUAGUGGCUUACCAAGGCUUUGACGGGUAGCCGGCCUGAGAGGGUGACCGGCCACAUUGGGACGGAGAUACGGCCCAGACUCCUACGGGAGGCAGCAGUGGGGAAUAUUGCACAAUGGGCGGAAGCCUGAUGCAGCAACGCCGCGUGCGGGAGGACGGCCUUCGGGUUGUAAACCGCUUUCGCCUGUGACGAAGCGUGAGUGACGGUAAUGGGUAAAGAAGCACCGGCUAACUACGU
rnacentral:rRNA from 1 species